UACGUAGGGUGCGAGCGUUAAUCGGAAUUACUGGGCGUAAAGCGUGCGCAGGCGGUUCGCUGUGUCCGAUGUGAAAGCCCCGGGCUUAACCUGGGAAUGGCAUUGGAAACUGGCGGGCUUGAGUGCGGCAGAGGGGGGUGGAAUUCCGCGUGUAGCAGUGAAAUGCGUAGAGAUCGGAAGGAACGCCGAUGGCGAAGGCAGCUACCUGGCAUAAUACUGACGCUGAUGUGCGAAAGCGUGGGGAGCAAACAGG
rnacentral:rRNA from 1 species